rnacentral:rRNA from 1 species
UACGUAGGGGGCAAGCGUUGUCCGGAUUCAUUGGGCGUAAAGAGCGUGUAGGCGGCCAGGUAGGUCGGUUGUGAAAACUGGAGGCUCAACCUUCAGAGGUCGACCGAAACCAUCUGGCUAGAGUCCGGGAGAGGAGAGUGGAAUUCCUGGUGUAGCGGUGAAAUGCGCAGAUAUCAGGAAGAACGACCCGUGGCGAAAGCGGCUCUCUGGAACGGUACUGACGCUGAGACGCGAAAGCGUGGGGAGCGAACAGG